rnacentral:rRNA from 1 species
ACCCGCUGAACUUAAGCAUAUCAAUAAGCGGAGGAAAAGAAACCAACAGGGAUUGCCCUAGUAACGGCGAGUGAAGCGGCAACAGCUCAAAUUUGAAAUCUGGCUCUUUUAGAGUCCGAGUUGUAAUUUGCAGAGGGCGCUUUGGCCUUGGCAGCGGUCCAAGUUCCUUGGAACAGGACGUCACAGAGGGUGAGAAUCCCGUACGUGGUCGCUGGCUAUUGCCGUGUAAAGCCCCUUCGACGAGUCGAGUUGUUUGGGAAUGCAGCUCUAAAUGGGAGGUACAUUUCUUCUAAAGCUAAAUAUUGGCCAGAGACCGAUAGCGCACAAGUAGAGUGAUCGAAAGAUGAAAAGCACUUUGGAAAGAGAGUCAAACAGCACGUGAAAUUGUUAAAAGGGAAGCGCUUGCAGCCAGACUUGCUUACAGUUGCUCAUCCGGGCUUUUGCCCGGUGCACUCUUCUGUAGGCAGGCCAGCAUCAGUUUGGGCGGUAGGAUAAAGGUCUCUGUCACGUACCUCCUUUCGGGGAGGCCUUAUAGGGGAGACGACAUACUACCAGCCUGGACUGAGGUCCGCGCAUCUGCUAGGAUGCUGGCGUAAUGGCUGU